rnacentral:rRNA from 1 species
UGGGCCUACGGGAGGCAGCAGUGGGGAAUAUUGCACAAUGGGCGAAAGCCUGAUGCAGCAACGCCGCGUGAAGGAAGAAGGCCUUCGGGUCGUAAACUUCUGUCCUUGGGGAAGAAGAACUGACGGUACCCAAGGAGGAAGCCCCGGCUAACUACGUGCCAGCAGCCGCGGUAAUACGUAGGGGGCAAGCGUUGUUCGGAAUGACUGGGCGUAAAGGGUGCGUAGGCGGUUGUACAAGUUAGAAGUGAAAUACCCAGGGCUUAACUCGGGUGCUGCUUCUAAAACUGUAUGACUUGAGUGCAGUA